rnacentral:rRNA from 1 species
GAAUACUAAGGCGAUCGAGAGAAUCGUGGUGAAGGAACUCGGCAAAAUACCCCCGUAACUUCGGAAUAAGGGGGACCGGAGGGGUGCAUAGCCCUGAAGGUCGCAGAGACCACGCCCAAGCGACUGUUUACCAAAAACACAGGUCCGUGCCAAGUUGAAAGACGAUGUAUACGGACUGACUCCUGCCCGGUGCUGGAAGGUUAAGGGGAAGUGUCAGCGCAAGCGAAGCACUGAACUUAAGCCCCAGUAAACGGCGGUGGUAACUAUAACCAUCCUAAGGUAGCGAAAUUCCUUGUCGGGUAGUUUGACUGGGGCGGUCGCCUCCCAAAAGGUAACGGAGGCGCCCAAAGGUUCCCUCAGCCUGGUUGGCAAUCAGGUGUUGAGUGUAAAUGCACAAGGGAGCUUGACUGUGAGACAGACAUGUCGAGCAGGGGACGAAAGUCGGGAUUAGUGAUCUUAUGGUGGCACGUGGAAGCGCCAUAACUCAAC